CAGAUGUUGCCGUUCAAGUGUUCGAAAAUCAAACUCAUGACUCGGUUACUAAAAUUUUGAAGGAAGUUUUGAAUAGUCUAAACCAAUCUUCAAAAAAAAGAAAUGCACGUUGUGAGAAGAAUAUCCGAACAUCUCCCUACCAGGCCGAAAACGAAACGGCACCUGUGACGUAGCUGCGUCAGAUUUCAAUUCCAGUGAAUCAGUUGAGAGAAAAAGGAGAGAAAAUUUAUGAAUUUCAGAAUUAUAUUUAAGUUACAGAUUUAAGAAGGAUAUGGGAGAUUAUUUUUAUUAUUAUUGUGUGGACGAGGAUAUUUGAUCUAUCGUUUAAUUGUAUCCCUAUCAAUAUCGAUAUUGCUUGUACGCCAUAUAGAGAAACGACACCUACCUGUUGCAACCUAAACUGAUUCGACUUCGAGGAAACGCGCAGAAACAAAUCAAAGCAAAGAAAAUAGUAAACCGGUCGGACGUUUGAUCGGAAAGUUGAACCACUGUUCACCGGAUUUCCUACGUAAGUUCUGUUGUACAUUUCUUAUCAUACACUCACCACAAAAUUCUUGCAGAUCCUACUUCAAAUCCAAAUCUACGACAAUCUGAUUCCGUCGGUAUUGGAUGCGCUCAAAUACCUAAUUUUCUUGUCGCAAAACGAUGGUCCCUCGAUCUCGCUUUGGCUUCAAAGCUUGGCAAAAAUAGUACAAAGCACAAAAUGAAGCUGAGCGGGUUGUUCCAAGACGUGGUCAAUCAACUGAAGGCGCACAAGAGCUUAGACCUUUAAACGUCAAAGGAAGUAGUUCAAAAAAUGGCCGAAGAGAUGACAGCCGAAGAGAUUGGUUCAAUGUGUGGUGGAGAAUUGCUUAGGAUAAAGGCGGGAUAUUUCAGUCAGGUCCGCAACACUAAAGACUGGAGAGUGGAGAAUGUCUUGGCUCUUGGCAAUUAACUAUCUUUCGGUGGCCCUUUGCUGAUCGCUCAACAGAAGCACUGCGUCAUCUACCGAGAAACUGCUUCCAGUCAUUUGAAACUGGUGGGCAAACUUUACGACCAGUGUCAGGACACCCUGGUUCAGUUCAUUACGUUCCUUGGAUCCAACUGCAGCGUGGAGGAGUAUGUCGUGCGCCUGCCGAGUAUCCAUAACAUGUUCAUUCACAGCCUGAAGACGGCCUAUUUCUCUACCAUCCUGCUACGAUCGAAUAUUCUGCGACAUCACUUACCCGGUAACUUCAUUUACCAUAAACGUAACAUACGUAACAAACGUAACGUAACAUAAGGCAGCUAAAGGACAGAUGAUACUGUCAAGCUAUUUCCAUCAAAAGAAUUAUAGAAGAGUCCAUUUUUCUUUCCAGAACGUAAAGAAAAAUAAGACAAUCGUCUCCAGCAACAGAGUUUGUCGACUACAAAGCAAACGAUAAAUUCAAAUUCACAGGACUCGAACAGUGACAACAGCAGCGGUUCCAGCACCAACUCCGAUGUGAAAAUCAUCGAACGUGGAAUCAAGAAAGAAACAACGGCUUGGGAAUUGUCCACUCGGGAGACUUCCGUCGUAAGCAGUAGCGGUACCGGGACGAAGGAAAAAUCGUCCAAGGAAAUCAAACGUGUAGAACGGGCUCGGGAAAAUAAACGGGAACGAGAGGAAGCAGCCGCCGAAUAGAAGCGCGGAAAGGAAGCAGAGAAACGGCGUAAAAAAUCGACUAGAUGUUGUCUUUUAUUUUUGUCCGAGUGAGAGCUGUUCGAUAACUUGUUUUGUUUUUUAAUAUUUUAGGUGCUCUUGCUGCAGCAGCGGCCGCCGAGUACGAGCUUCAUUUCAACAGCAGGCCACCACUGGAUCGUAGCGAACGGGAUGUCAGUUUCCAACUCCAACGUCCAGAACGUAUUCAAAUUAUAGCCGAGAAAUUAGGCAUCGCCACUCGGGAGACUUCCGUGGUAAGCAGUAGCGACCGGGACGAAGAACGGGCCUGGGAAAAGGAACAGGAACGGGAGGAAUCGCCGAACAGAAGCGCGAGAUGGAAGCGGAGAAACGGCGGAAAAAAUCGACUAGAGGUGCUCUACCUACAGCAGCGAUCACCGAGUACGAGCUUCAUUUCAACAGCAGGCCACCACGGGAUCGCAGCGAACGGGAUGUCAGUUUCCAACUGCAACGUUCAGAACGUAUUGAAAUUAUAGCCGAGAAAAUAGGCAUCGCCACUCGGGAGACUUCCAUUAAAAGCAGUAGCGAUACCGCGACGAAGAAAAAAUCGUGCAAAGAAAUUAAACGUGAAGAACGGGCCCGGGAUAAGGAAGGUCGCCGUGUACAAGCUUCAUAUCAAAAGCAGCCCACCACGGAGCGCGAACCGUGGGCCUUGAAGUGAGAACGGGAUCGCAGCGAACGCGGGACCUCAGGUCAGUUUCCAACUCCAAUGUCCAGAACGAAUGGAAAUUAUAGCCGAGAAAAUGGGCAUCGCCACUCGGGAGACUUCCGUCGUAAGCAGUAGCGGUACCGGGACGAAGGAAAAACUGUCCAAGGAAAUUAAACGUGAAGAACGGGCCCGAGAAAAUAAACGGGAAUGGGUGGAAGUAGCUGCCGAACAGAAGUGCGAGAAGGAAUCGGAGGAGCGGCGGAAAAAAAAAUCGACUAGAGGUGCUCUACCUACAGCAGCGAUCACCGAGUACGAGCUUCAUUUCAACAGCAGGCCACCACGGGAUCGCAGCGAACGGGAUGUCAGUUUCCAACUGCAACGUUCAGAACGUAUUGAAAUUAUAGCCGAGAAAAUGGGCAUCGCCACUCGGGAGACUUCCGUCGUAAGCAGUAGCGGUACCGGGACGAAGGAAAAAUCGUCCAAGGAAAUCAAACGUGUAGAACGCGCCCGGGAAAAUAAACGUGUGUCGUAGCUGCGUCAGAUUUCAAUUCCAGAUUAAGUCUCAAGCUAUGUAAGCAACAACGCUGACCACAAGCUCAAUUGGAGCACAAAACACGAAAUGGAGAAGGCUGAAGGACCAACAUCAUCUUUGAAACCUCGCCGAAUUUGCGAAAUUCUUCAAUUCAAACAACUCAACGGAACACAGCUAAUGCUAAUUCGUCGCUAGCACACUGACGAACACAACGAAUUAGGUUUAUGAAGGAGACAACGGCCUUGCGUGGAACGAGCGUCAGCUAGAUGGACUUUGAGAACUCUGCCAGGAAGUUCGUCAGAAUUUGGAGAGGGCCGGCAACCUUGCGUGGGAUUGCCGCCACUCAUUGUCCAGAAGGCAAUCCUCUUGAAGCAACGUAGCGGUGUUGGGGAUAGUAGCACUGGUGAGCUACCGUAGCCAGGCGCUACAUACCAUCGUAGAGAACCCAUCCAGGAAUGGGAACGGGAGGAAGCAGCCGCCGAUCAGAAGCGCGAGAAGGAAGCGGAAAGACGGCCGAAAAAUCGACUAGAUUGGUUGUCCUUUAUGUUUGUCCGAGUAACAGAAGGAAUUGCCAAUCAGAAGCGCGAGAAGGAAGCGGAGAAACGGCGGAAAAAAAUCGACUAGAGGUGCUCUAGCUACAGCAGCGGUCACCGAGUACGAGCUUCAUUUCAACAGCAGGCCACCACGGGAUCGCAGCGAACGGGAUGUCAGUUUCCAACUCCAACGUCCAGAACGUAUUAAAAUUAUAGCCGAGAAAUUAGGCAUCGCCACUCGGGAGACUUCCGUGGUAAGCAGUAGCGACUGGGACGAAGAACGGGCCUGGGAAAAGGAACAGGAACGGGAGGAAUCGCCGAACAGAAGCGCGAGAUGGAAGCGGAGAAACGGCGGAAAAAAUCGACUAGAGGUGCUCUACCUACAGCAGCGAUCACCGAGUACGAGCUUCAUUUCAACAGCAGGCCACCACGGGAUCGCAGCGAACGGGAUGUUAGUUUCCAACUGCAACGUUCAGAACGUAUUGAAAUUAUAGCCGAGAAAAUAGGCAUCGCCACUCGGGAGACUUCCAUUAAAAGCAGUAGCGAUACCGCGACGAAGAAAAAAUCGUGCAAAGAAAUUAAACGUGAAGAACGGGCCCGGGAUAAGGAAGGUCGCCGUGUACAAGCUUCAUAUCAAAAGCAGCCCACCACGGAGCGCGAACCGUGGGCCUUGAAGUGAGAACGGGAUCGCAGCGAACGCGGGACCUCAGGUCAGUUUCCAACUCCAAUGUCCAGAACGAAUGGAAAUUAUAGCCGAGAAAAUGGGCAUCGCCACUUGGGAGACUUCCGUCGUAAGCAGUAGCGGUACCGGGACGAAGGAAAAACUGUCCAAGGAAAUUAAACGUGAAGAACGGGCCCGAGAAAAUAAACGGGAAUGGGUGGAAGUAGCUGCCGAACAGAAGUGCGAGAAGGAAUCGGAGAAGCGGCGGAAAAAAAAAUCGACUAGAGGUGCUCUAGCUACAACAGCGGUCACCGAGUACGAGCUUCAUUUCAACAGCAGGCCACCACUGGAUCGUAGCGAACGGGAUGUCAGUUUCCAACUCCAACGUCCAGAACGUAUUCAAAUUAUAGCCGAGAAAAUGGGCAUCGCCACUCGGGAGACUUCCGUCGUAAGCAGUAGCAACCGGGACGAAGGAAAAAUCGUCCAAGGAAAUCAAACGUGUAGAACGCGCCCGGGAAAAUAAACGUGUGUCGUAGCUGCGUCAGAUUUCAAUUCCAGAUUAAGUCUCAAGCUAUGUAAGCAACAACGCUGACCACAAGCUCACUUGGAGCACAAAACACGAAAUGGAGAAGGCUGAAGGACCAACAUCAUCUUUGAAACCUCGCCCCCAACAACUCGGAGCAAAUUUGUGAAAUUCUUCAAUUCAAACAACUCAACGGAACACAGCUAAUGCUAAUUCGUCGCUAGCACACUGACGAACACAACGAAUUAGGUUUAUGAAGGAGACAACGGCCUUGCGUGGAACGAGCGUCAGCUAGAUGGACUUUGAGAACUCUGCCAGGAAGUUCGUCAGAAUUUGGAGAGGGCCGGCAACCUUGCGUGGGAUCGCCGCCACUCAUUGUCCAGAAGGCAAUCCUCUUUAAGCAACGUAGCGGUGUUGGGGAUAGUAGCACUGGUGAGCUACCGUAGCCAGGCGCUACAUACCAUCGUAGAGAACCCAUCCAGGUUCGGGAUAUCGGAGUGUUCGGAAAGUCAGGUAAAGCAGCUCCAAAUACCACGUCGCUGCAAUUGACAGGAUUGUCAGGACAUCAGAAAGAGGAUUCGACUAGAGGUGCUCUUGCUGUAGCAGCGGCCGCCGAAUACGAGCUUAAUUUCAACAGCAGGCCAUCACUGAGCGCGAAUCGUAGGCCUGGAGUGGAAACGGGAUCGCAGCGAACGGGACCUCAGGUCAGUUUCCAACUCCAACGUCCAGAACGUAUAGAAAUUAUAGCCGAGAAAAUGGGCAUCGCCACUCGGGAGACUUCCGUCGUAAGCAGUAGCGAUACCGCGACAAAGAAAAAAUCGUCCAAGGAAAUUAAACGUGAAGAACGGGUUCGAGAAAAUAAACGCGAAUGGGUGGAAGUAGCUGCCGAACAGAAGCGCGAGAAGGAAUCGGAGAAGCGGCGGAAAAAACCGAUUAGAGGUGCUCUAGCUACAGCAGCGGUCACCGAGUACGAGCUUCAUUUCAACAGCAGCCCACCACGGAGCGCGAACCGUGGGCCUUGAAGUGAGAACGGGAUCGCAGCGAACAGGACCUCUGGUCAGUUUCCAUCUCCAACGUCCAGAAAGUAUAAAAAAUUAAAGUCAAAAAAUGGGCAUCGUCACUCGGGAGAUUUGCCUCGUAAGCAUUAGCGGUACCGCGAUGAAGGAAAAAUCGUCCAAAAAAAUCAAACGAGAAUAACAGGCCCCGGAAAAAAAGGAAUGGGAACGGGAGGAAGCAGCCGCCGAUCAGAAGCGCGAGAAGGAAGCGGAAAGACGGCCGAAAAAUCGACUAGAUUGGUUGUCCUUUAUGUUUGUCCGAGUAACAGAAGGAAUUGCCAAUCAGAAGCGCGAGAAGGAAGCGGAGAAACGGCGGAAAAAAAAUCGACUAGAGGUGCUCUAGCUACAGCAGCGGUCACCGAGUACGAGCUUCAUUUCAACAGCAGGCCACCACGGGAUCGCAGCGAACGGGAUGUCAGUUUCCAACUCCAACGUCCAGAACGUAUUCAAAUUAUAGCCGAGAAAUUAGGCAUCGCCACUCGGGAGACUUCCGUCGUAAGCAGUAGCAACCGGGACGAAGGAAAAAUCGUCCAAGGAAAUCAAACGUGAAGAACGGGCCUGGGAAAAGGAACAGAAACGGGAGGAAUCGCCGAACAGAAUCGCGAGAAGGAAGCGGAGAAACGGCGGAAAAAAUCGACUAGAGGUGCUUUAGCUGCAGCGGCGGUCACCGAGUACGAGCUUCAUUUCAACAGCAGCUCACCACGGAGCGCGAACCGUGGGCCUUGAAGUGAGAACGGGAUCGCAGCGAACGGGACCUCUGGUCAGUUUCCAACUCCAACGUCCAGAAAGUAUAAAAAAUUAUAGCCAAAAAAAUGGGCAUCGCCACUCGGGAGAUUUGCGUCGUAAGAAGUAGCGGUACCGCGAUGAAGGAAAAAUCGUCCAAAAAAAUCAAACGAGAAUAACAGGCCCCGGAAAAAAAGGAAUGGGAACGGGAGGAAGCAGCCGCCGAUCAGAAGCGCGAGAAGGAAGCGGAAAGACGGCCGAAAAAUCGACUAGAUCGGUUGUCCUUUAUGUUUGUCCGAGUAACAGAAGGAAUUGCCAAUCAGAAGCGCGAGAAGGAAGCGGAGAAACGGCGGAAAAAAAAUCGACUAGAGGUGCUCUAGCUACAGCAGCGGUCACCGAGUACGAGCUUCAUUUCAACAGCAGGCCACCACGGGAUCGCAGCGAACGGGAUGUCAGUUUCCAACUCCAACGUCCAGAACGUAUUCAAAUUAUAGCCGAGAAAUUAGACAUCGCCACUCGGGAGACUUCCGUCGUAAGCAGUAGCAACCGGGACGAAGGAAAAAUCGUCCAAGGAAAUCAAACGUGAAGAACGGGCCUGGGAAAAGGAACAGAAACGGGAGGAAUCGCCGAACAGAAUCGCGAGAAGGAAGCGGAGAAACGGCGGAAAAAAUCGACUAGAGGUGCUUUAGCUGCAGCGGCGGUCACCGAGUACGAGCUUCAUUUCAACAGCAGCUCACCACGGAGCGCGAACCGUGGGCCUUGAAGUGAGAACGGGAUCGCAGCGAACGGGACCUCUGGUCAGUUUCCAACUCCAACGUCCAGAAAGUAUAAAAAAUUAUAGCCAAAAAAAUGGGCGUCGCCACUCGGGAGAUUUGCGUCGUAAGAAGUAGCGGUACCGCGAUGAAGGAAAAAUCGUCCAAAAAAUCAAACGAGAAUAACGGGCCCCGGAAGAAAGGAACGGGAACGGGAGGAAGCAACCGCCAAUCAGAAGCGCGAGAAGGAAGCGGAAAGACGGCCGAAAAAUCGACCAGAGGUUGUCCUUUAUGUUUGUCCGAGUAACAGAAGGAACUGCCGAAGCGCGAGAAGGAAGCGGAGAGACGGCGGAAAAAAUCGACUAGAGGUUGUCUCCAACGUCCAGAAAGUAUAAAAUAUUAUAGUCAAAAAAUGGGCAUCGUCACUCGGGAGAUUUGCCUCGUAAGCAUUAGCGGUACCGCGAUGAAGGAAAAAUCGUCCAAAAAAAUCAAACGAGAAUAACAGGCCCCGAAAAAAAAAGGAAUGGGAACGGGAGGAAGCAGCCGCCGAUCAGAAGCGCGAGAAGGAGACGGCCGAAAAAUCGACUAGAUUGGUUGUCCUUUAUGUUUGUCCGAGUAACAGAAGGAAUUGCCAAUCAGAAGCGCGAGAAGGAAGCGGAGAAACGGCGGAAAAAAAAUCGACUAGAGGUUGUCUUUUAUUUUUGUGCGAGUAAGAGCUGUUCGAUAACUUUAAAAAAUUAAAAAAUGGGCAUCGCCACUCGGGAGAUUUGCGUCGUAAGAAGUAGCGGUACCGCGAUGAAGGAAAAAUCGUCCAAGGAAAUCAAACGAGAAUAACGGGCCCCGGAAGAAAGGAACGGGAACGGGAGGAAGCAACCGCCGAUCAGAAGCGCGAGAAGGAAGCGGAAAGACGGCCGAAAAAUCGACUAGAGGUUGUCCUUUAUGUUUGUCCGAGUAACAGAAGGAACUGCCGAAGCGCGAGAAGGAAGCGGAGAGACGGCGGAAAAAAUCGACUAGAGGUGCUCUAGCUACAGCAGCGGUCACCGAGUACGAGCUUCAUUUCAACAGCAGCCCACCACGGAGCGCGAACCGUGGGCCUUGAAGUGAGAACGGGAUCGCAGCGAACAGGACCUCUGGUCAGUUUCCAACUACAACGUCCAGAAAGUAUAAAAAAUUAUAGUCAAAAAAUGGGCAUCGUCACUCGGAAGAUUUGCCUCGUAAGCAUUAGCGGUACCGCGAUGAAGGAAAAAUCGUCCAAAAAAAUCAAACGAGAAUAACAGGCCCCGGAAAAAAAGGAAUGGGAACGGGAGGAAGCAGCCGCCGAUCAGAAGCGCGAGAAGGAAGCGGAAAGACGGCCAAAAAAUCGACUAGAUUGGUUGUCCUUUAUGUUUGUCCGAGUAACAGAAGGAAUUGCCAAUCAGAAGCGCGAGAAGAAAGCGGAGAAACGGCGGAAAAAAAUCGACUAGAGGUGCUCUAGCUACAGCAGCGGUCACCGAGUACGAGCUUCAUUUCAACAGCAGACCACCACGGAGCGCGAGCCGUGGGCCUUGAAGUGAGAACGGGAUCGCAGCGAACGGGAUCUCAGCUCAGCAACGAGUAUCGCCGAAGCCAGGACCCGCCGGAUAGUUAACGCUCGUAGCAGUAGCUAAAUUUACAGCAGUUUAUUCGCGGUUUUAUGAGGCCAGGCUUCCGGAGGUGGGAAAAAGCAACGAACAUCGCCGAAGCCAGGACCCGCCGGACAGUUAACGCUCGUAGAAGUAGCGAAAUUUACAGCAGUUUAUUCGUGGUCUUAUGAGGCCAGGCUUCCGGAGGCGGGAAAAAGGCAGGUUCCGACUCGGCUGUCGAAACGAAUUCAAAGGAAAAGGGAAGAACUAGCAAAGUCGCACCUCCAACUCCAAAAUCAAAACAGAGUUCGAUUAUGAGUUAAUUUUCAAAAAAUUAAUUUGUCUCCUACAUGUUAUACGGACAAAGGUUUAUUUUGUAUUCCCCAGUGUUGUAAGGUUAGUAAACUUUGUAUAAAUUGUUCAUUACGUGACCUUGUUGUAAGCGGAAUAAAUCAUUGGAGGAGCGUUUUUAUU